GGCUCUGUGGCGCAAUGGAUAGCGCAUUGGACUUCUAGGUGAAAGAAGAUAUUCAAAGGUUGUGGGUUCGAAUCCCAUCAGAGUCG
rfam:Xenopus tropicalis strain Nigerian Chr09_contig_504, whole genome shotgun sequence.